UACGUAGGGUGCAAGCGUUGUCCGGAAUUAUUGGGCGUAAAGAGCUCGUAGGCUGUCUGUCGCGUCGGCUGUGAAAUCCCGAGGCUCAACCUCGGGUCUGCAGUCGAUACGGGCAAACUAGAGUAUUGCAGGGGAGACUGGAAUUCCUGGUGUAGCGGUGAAAUGCGCAGAUAUCAGGAGGAACACCGGUGGCGAAGGCGGGUCUCUGGGCCGAUACUGACGCUGAGGAGCGAAAGCGUGGGGAGCAAACAGG
rnacentral:rRNA from 1 species